rnacentral:rRNA from 1 species
UACGGAGGGAGCUAGCGUUGUUCGGAAUUACUGGGCGUAAAGCGCGCGUAGGCGGCUUUGUAAGUUAGAGGUGAAAGCCCGGGGCUCAACCCCGGAAUUGCCUUUAAGACUGCAUCGCUUGAAUCCGGGAGAGGUGAGUGGAAUUCCGAGUGUAGAGGUGAAAUUCGUAGAUAUUCGGAAGAACACCAGUGGCGAAGGCGGCUCACUGGGCCGGUAUUGACGCUGAGGUGCGAAAGCGUGGGGAGCAAACAGG